rnacentral:rRNA from 1 species
CGACGUAGAGUUUGGUAUCCUCGGCUACGAGAGAACGCUGGCGGCGUGCCUAACACAUGCAAGUCGAACGGAACUUAGUUGAAGGAAUUCUUCGGAAGGACGAUUGGUUAAGUUUAGUGGCGGACGGGUGAGUAACGCGUGAGUAACCUGCCUCCGAGAGGGGAAUAACAAAUCUGAAAAGAUUGCUAAUACCGCAUAACAUAGCGAAGUCGCAUGGCAGCGCUAUCAAAGAUUUAUCGCUCGGAGAUGGACUCGCGUCCGAUUAGUUAGUUGGUGAGGUAACGGCUCACCAAGACCGCGAUCGGUAGCCGGACUGAGAGGUUGAACGGCCACAUUGGGACUGAGACACGGCCCAGACUCCUACGGGAGGCGGCAGUGGGGGAUAUUGCGCAAUGGGGGAAACCCUGACGCAGCAACGCCGCGUGAAGGAUGAAGGUUUUCGGAUUGUAAACUUCUUUUAUUAAGGACGAAAAAAUAGACGGUACUUAAUGAAUAAGCUCCGGCUAACUACGUG